rnacentral:misc_RNA from 1 species
GUAGGUGAACCUGCGGAAGGAUCAUUAACACGAAUUUUAUCCAAUAUCAAAACCAACCGUGAACUUUUCCCCUCCCUGUAAGUUGAAAGCAAUUCAUUGUGAUCAGCUUACAGGCUAACCCUUUUUUAAUUUUAACCCCUAUUAACUCUUUGUUUUACCUAUUUAUAGGCCAAAACAACUAACUAAAAAAUUGACUAAGACCCAACAAUUUAUUUGUUGUCCUCUUAUUUAUAUUUUUUCUAUUACGAAA